rnacentral:rRNA from 2 species
GGCGAGGCGACUCUCUGGUCUGUAACUGACGCUGAGGAGCGAAAGCGUGGGGAGCGAACAGGAUUAGAUACCCUGGUAGUCCACGCCGUAAACGAUGAGUGCUAAGUGUUAGGGGGUUUCCGCCCCUUAGUGCUGCAGCUAACGCAUUAAGCACUCCGCCUGGGGAGUACGGUCGCAAGACUGAAACUCAAAGGAAUUGACGGGGGCCCGCACAAGCGGUGGAGCAUGUGGUUUAAUUCGAAGCAACGCGAAGAACCUUACCAGGUCUUGACAUCCUCUGACAAUCCUAGAGAUAGGACGUCCCCUUCGGGGGCAGAGUGACAGGUGGUGCAUGGUUGUCGUCAGCUCGUGUCGUGAGAUGUUGGGUUAAGUCCCGCAACGAGCGCAACCCUUGAUCUUAGUUGCCAGCAUUCAGUUGGGCACUCUAAGGUGACUGCCGGUGACAAACCGGAGGAAGGUGGGGAUGACGUCAAAUCAUCAUGCCCCUUAUGACCUGGGCUACACACGUGCUACAAUGGACAGAACAAAGGGCAGCGAAACCGCGAGGUUAAGCCAAUCCCACAAAUCUGUUCUCAGUUCGGAUCGCAGUCUGCAACUCGACUGCGUGAAGC